rnacentral:misc_RNA from 1 species
ACAUUUUAGCCCCCAAAUCUUUUAACAAAUAUUCAAAUCAAAGCCUCGCCUAACCCUGUUACUCUUGUCUUGCACAAAUACCAUCUCUGUUUCAGAUUCAACGUCCGCAUCUAAACCAAUCUCUCUUUCUCUUCUGAUCCAAGCUCCCAUUCAUUUCUUGAUCCUUGCCUUAGCUGCUUUGAUCUAAAUUCUCCUCCUUCUCAUCUCACAUUUGCUUUUUUUACUCAAAGCACGAACAUUUUCCAUUUUUGCUUUAGAUCCCGUUUGGAAAAUGGCCACAAUGGAGAGCUUGAUUGGGUUAGUCAACAGAAUCCAAAGAGCUUGCACUGUCUUAGGCGAUCAUGGAGGUGAAGGCAUGUCCCUCUGGGAAGCUCUUCCUUCUGUUGCUGUUGUUGGUGGCCAGAGUUCUGGGAAAUCUUCAGUGUUGGAAAGCGUGGUGGGGAGAGAUUUCUUGCCUCGUGGAUCUGGUAUUGUUACACGGAGGCCAUUGGUGUUGCAACUUCAUAAGAUAGAGGAUGGGAAAUCUGAAUAUGCAGAAUUUCUUCAUGCACCAAAGAAGAGGUUUACAGAUUUUGCUGCUGUGCGUAAGGAGAUUGCGGAUGAAACUGAUCGUAUUACUGGGAAGUCAAAACAAAUCUCUAAUAUUCCAAUUCACCUGAGUAUAUAUUCUCCAAAUGGUUUGUAUCCAGACUUCUUUCCCAGUUGCAUGCUCAAUGAAGUUAUGUAGCUGACUAGUUACAGUAAUAUAUUUUAAGUUUCAAAAUUUUUUUCUGAUGCAUGUGCUAAUUUUGAAUUUCACUUUAAUUAUCAUGUUUAGAACCUAAAAAACGAAGAGCUUUUAAUGAGUUUUCUAUAUGGUACUUUUAUAUGUUGUUGCCUUCUUAGUUUCACACUAUUAAUUCUGUUCCAUACAUUCACUUACUAUAAAAUUAAUUAUUUGUUGAUUUCUUAAAAUAUUUAUUCAGAUUCUGUGGCUCUUAACUGAAUGGUUUUUGUUUAUCAGUUGUCAACUUGACCCUCAUAGAUCUUCCUGGGUUGACAAAGGUUGCUGUAGAGGGCCAGCCAGAGAGUAUAGUUGAAGAUAUUGAAAAUAUGGUCCGUACUUACGUUGAGAAGCCCAACUGCAUUAUAUUGGCCAUUUCUCCUGCCAAUCAAGAUAUUGCCACUUCGGAUGCCAUAAAACUUGCCAGAGAAGUUGAUCCUUCAGGUGAAAGGACAUUUGGUGUGUUGACGAAGCUUGAUCUCAUGGACAAGGGAACCAAUGCUCUGGAUGUUCUUGAAGGAAGGGCAUAUAGGCUGCAACAUCCCUGGGUUGGUAUUGUUAAUCGUUCACAAGCCGAUAUCAACAAGAAUGUUGACAUGAUUGCUGCCCGUCGAAAGGAGCGUGAAUAUUUUGAAACAAGCCCUGAGUAUGGACAUUUGGCAAGUAAAAUGGGAGCAGAGUAUCUUGCCAAACUUUUAUCCAAGCAUUUGGAGACGGUUAUCAGACAGCGGAUACCAAGUAUCAUUGCUUUGAUAAAUAAGACCAUUGAUGAGCUUAAUGCAGAGUUGGACCGCAUUGGGAGGCCUAUUGCAGUAGACUCAGGGGCACAACUUUACACAAUCCUAGAAUUGUGUCGUGCUUUUGACCGUGUAUUUAAGGAACACCUGGAUGGAGGGCGUCCUGGUGGUGAUCGAAUAUAUGGGGUUUUUGAUCAUCAACUACCGGCUGCUUUAAAAAAGCUUCCCUUUGAUCGUCAUCUCUCUUUGAAAAAUGUGCAAAAAGUUGUUUCAGAAGCUGAUGGUUAUCAGCCACAUUUAAUUGCUCCAGAACAAGGGUAUAGAAGGCUAAUUGAUGGAUCUAUAAGCUACUUCAAAGGCCCAGCUGAAGCCUCUGUGGAUGCGGUAAUGUUCUUCUUGCUUGAGCUGUACCUGCUGAUUUUGAAGUUUGGGGUGAAUGUAUUUUAUGCUGAUAUGUGUUCAAUGUACUUGGUUCUGUGCAGCAUUUUUUUCUUUUCCAGCUUGUUAUUUAUGUUCUUGAUAUUACAUUCCAUUGUCUAGAUGAAUACUUCUACAUUCCGUUGCAUUUACGGAAUGCCUAAACAGGGACAGAUUCAACAGCUUUGACAGCAUUGGUGAUGAAUAAUGCUUCUGCUAAAGAAUCCUCAUUUUUCAUUGCUUAUUCAUGAGUAUUUACUUUGAGAUUUUGUGGGUACUUUCCCUUGUAGACCUUUUGUGUUUGGACAAUAAUUGAAAGGACUCAUCCUUCAACAUUUUUCUUUUUCACGAGAAGUGAUAACAAGUAGAACAUUUAGUUAUAAUCCAUGGAUGUUGUAAGGGCAGAUAUGAAAGAACAUUUUUAUUUAUUUAUUCAGGAAUGGGAAAGAAGGAUGGUAUUGCAAUAUUAUUAUCAUUAUUGUUUUCAUUGUAGAGGAAAUGGUUUUAUAAGAAAACAGAGAUCUCUUGUAGUGACGUUCUGCUUGCAUUAUUAUGUAUGAUUAUUCGUUAUUAUAUAUAUUUUUCUCACAGAUAAGUGUUUUAUGUUGCCUUCCUUAGGUGCACUUCAUUCUGAAGGAACUUGUAAGGAAGUCAAUAGCUGAAACAGAGGAGCUGAAGAGAUUUCCUACUCUUCAAUCUGACAUUGCUGCUGCAGCAAAUGAAGCUUUGGAAAGAUUCCGUGAUGAAAGCAGGAGAACAGUUUUGAGGCUUGUGGACAUGGAGUCUAGCUAUCUUACAGUGGAAUUUUUCCGGAAGAUUCACCUUGAAGGGGAGAAGAACACAAACUCAAACUCAAACUCAAAUGCAUCAGGCCCAAAUGCAGACCGUUUUGCUGAUUAUCAUUUCAGGAAGAUUGGUAUGCUAUCCACCCUUGUCUUCACAUUCUUUAAUCUGGCAAAUUGUUUUCCGUAUGUUUAAAUAUAUCUAUAUAAACAAUCUGUUUAGCUUAGUGGUAUUGCUUAGUAACCAUCUCCAUAAUCAUUUCAUUAAUUUAAUUCAUUUAUGUUCUUCCUCACUAAUGAGUGUCAUUGUUGCGUAUAGUUUAGGUUCUUGUAUUAAUAGUACUGAAUAUAAUUCCAGGAUCCUUUGAUUUCUUUCACAAGAUGCAAGAUGUAUAACAUCCAAAUUUCUGCUAUUAUGUAGUACUUGGAUUAAUAAGUACUGUGACAUGCAUUGGAAAAUUUCUUUCAGGAUCAAAUGUCAAUGCUUAUAUUGGUAUGGUUUGUGAUACACUAAAGAAUUCUAUCCCCAAAGCCGUAGUUUAUUGUCAAGUCCGAGAGGCUAAGAGAUCUCUUCUCAAUCAGUUCUACGCACAAGUUGGGAGAAGGGAGAAGGAGCGACUUGGUGCGAUGUUGGAUGAGGAUCCGCAACUCAUGGAAAAAAGAGCAGCCAUAGCAAAAAGGCUUGAAUUAUACAAGUCAGCCAGGGAUGAGAUUGAUUCAGUGGCAUGGAAAUGAUAGAGUUACUUCCUCACAAGAUUCAGUAAAUUCAUUUUUUAAUUUUCCUUUUUCUUUUUCCAAUUUUUAGGCUAGAUGACAACCA